rnacentral:snoRNA from 1 species
GAAUGGAAGUGAGAAUGAGAGUGGAGAUGGGAUUGAGAGGGAAGAUGAGAGGAGAGGAUGGGAGGGAGGAGUAACAAAAGUGAAAACAAAAACUAAAAACUGAAAUCUAUUUCAAAUUGUUUUCACUUUCAAGAUUUUGUUUUCACUUUUGUUACUCCUCCCUCUCAUCUUCCCCUCUCACCCUCUCUCUCAAUCUCAUCCUCACUCCCAUUCU